CUUUGAAAACCUUCAGAAACACAUCAGGGAUUCCUGAGCUUCUUGCUCCUGCCAGGCAGCAUUUGCGGUGACAACUAGUGCUGAGAGCCCAGCAGCCCACACACAACUCCUUGGGAAAGGAGAGAGCUGAAGUUUCAAGGCAAUGGAGAAACACAUGGAUCUACAUGGAUCUUUCUGGAGGAUGGCAAUGAGAGUCCUAUGGUAUAGCACAUCUUUCUUUUCUGGACCCCACUGGCUUCCAGCUGGGCUUUAGAUGUUCAGGAGGAGGGAAAUGGAGAAGAUUCUUCUAGGUCAAAGAGCAGGUGAGUACAGAGAUGACACUUCCAGGCAAUGAUCCUAACUCUCUAUCCAGUACUACCCCAAAGCUGAGACAUUGUCCCUCUUAAGCCUGCUAAUUGUUUUUGCUUUUUAUUUUUUAAAUAAAAAUCUUAUGACAGCCUUAAAUUCAAAUUUAAAAAGAGAAAGAAAAAAACCCACUGU